rnacentral:rRNA from 1 species
UACGUAGGGGGCAAGCGUUGUCCGGAUUUAUUGGGCGUAAAGAGCGUGUAGGCGGCCAGGUAGGUCUGCUGUGAAAACUCGAGGCUUAACCUCGAGAUGUCGGCGGAAACCAUCUGGCUAGAGUCCGGAAGAGGAGAGCGGAAUUCCUGGUGUAGCGGUGAAAUGCGUAGAUAUCAGGAGGAACACCGGUGGUGUAGACGGCUCUCUGGACCGUAACUGACGCUGAGGCACGAAAGCGUGGGUAGCAAACAGG